CCUACGGGUGGCAGCAGUGGGGAAUAUUGCACAAUGGGCGCAAGCCUGAUGCAGCGACGCCGCGUGAGGGAUGACGGCCUUCGGGUUGUAAACCUCUGUUAGCAUCGAAGAAGCGAAAGUGACGGUAGGUGCAGAGAAAGCGCCGGCUAACUACGUGCCAGCAGCCGCGGUAAUACGUAGGGCGCGAGCGUUGUCCGGAAUUAUUGGGCGUAAAGAGCUUGUAGGCGGUUGGUCGCGUCUGCUGUGAAAGGCUGGGGCUUAACCCUGGUUUUGCAGUGGGUACGGGCUAACUAGAGUGCAGUAGGGGAGACUGGAAUUCCUGGUGUAGCGGGGGAAUGCGCAGAUAUCAGGAGGAACACCGAUGGCGAAGGCAGGUCUCUGGGCUGUAACUGACGCUGAGAAGCGAAAGCAUGGGGAGCGAACAGGAUUAGAUACCCCUGUAGUC
rnacentral:rRNA from 1 species